ensembl:lncRNA
CUAUCAGUGAGACAGACAGUCGAGGUAAAAUAACCACCUUCCCCAAUCGUGACUCUUUGUCUUGUGGUUGUAUUUGCAUGAGUAAACAGCAGAAAUGUUCCUCAAGGGUGAGGUAGUGUAAAAUUACAUACACAGACUGUAAGCAGUAAAUAUGAGGCCAUUGUAAUGUUCAAUGUCAAUUCAUCUUCACAGUCAGCAGGGUUAUUAUAGAUAACUAAAACUGAAACCUUGUAAUAAACUGUAAUAAAAUGAAGUGUAUAAAAAACCUAAACAUGUUAAGUUUCAUAGAGUUGCCAAGGAAAUAUGUAUCACUUUCAUUUAGUAUAACUUGAUGUACUAAAACUAAAAAUGAAACAAAAAUGAAUAAAAAAAAAUACAAAAACAAAAAAUUACUAAAAGUUGUACUGAUGAUACUAAACACUGAUUGUAAAAAGACUCUUUUUUUAAAAUAUUUUUGUCCCCAUGUUUUUGCAGAUUCAUUGACCAAACAGAAAAAAGAAAUACACAUUAAUCCACAAAAUAAAUACACUGUGUUCAUAACACUGCAGUUAUUCUGAAGGCUAAGUAAAUGACCUGCAUUAUCUCACAUUGUCACACCCCUGGACCAUUUAUGUGUGUUUUUUGCCCCCUGUGACCCAGUUUCUGUUUCCCGUGUUUGGUUAAUUUGAUUCCAGGUGUCUAGUUUCUUUCCCAUGUGUUCCAUGUCCCUGUUAAUUAAAGUUAUUCCAUGCACCUGCUGCCCUUGGUUAUCCUGUCCUUAAAUUCUCAUGUCUGUUCCCUUUGUGUUUGUCGGGUCUACCAGUUACAUACGUGUGUCUUCCUGCUGUGGGCCAUGUUGGAUUUACCCCGUGUUGGAUUAAUGAAGACUCUCUUGAUUCUGUGUUCCUUCCGGCAGCGUAGUGUGACACACAUUUUAAACAUCACAUGCUAUGCUGUUUUCACAAGAGACUGCAUCUUCAGUGAGUUCAGUGAUCAUCAGAAUUACAGCAGGUUUGUGUGAUGGAUCACAUCUGUGAGCUUCACCUGCACAAGUACAACCAUCUCCAACAUCACAGUAUUUCUACUGCUCGACUAGAUCAUGUGUCAGAAACACCAAGGCUGUGGGUUUGAUUACAUAAACUGAUCAAUGGAUGACUAUAAAUGAUUUUGAAUUCAAUUAUCCACAAAUUUAUAAGUCACAGCAACACAGAUGAAAUACAUUUACAGAUAUGAGUGAUGU